rnacentral:lncRNA from 1 species
CUGACAAAGAGAAGGGAAGAUGGAGCCACCAUCUUGAAAACGUCUAGUCCUUAGUUCCUGCCGGCAUUCACCCGUGCAAGCUCCCAGCUUGUUUGUGUCUGCAGCUCGCCUUUACAGGAUGCUCUUUGUUAGAAAAAGAUUUGGGGCUGCUUUUCAUUAAAAAGAAAAGCCUCGCUGAGGACUCCCAUAACCUUACUAUCUAUCUGCGUCUGACCAGGGAUUCUGCAUUCAAAGAAACUCUUGUUGAUCUUGUUGGUUCAUGGACAACACUUUGAGAAGCCAGGCUAUAGAGGGUACAAGUAUUAUGGAACUAACACUACAUUUCCAGAUUCCAAUGGUAGCAAAGAAAAGGAUGGAAGAAUUUCAGAUGCCCCAGAUAAAGACAGCAAGAAAAAGGCAAUCUUUUGUUAAUUGAUUCCUUCACUUAAAAUUAAAUGUAACCAAAUUUC